UACGAGUGCCUCAAGCGUUAUCCGGAAUUAUUGGGCGUAAAGGUUGUGUAGGUGGUUGUAUUAGUCUUCUGUUAAAUUCUUCGGCUUAACCGGGGGCAUGCAGGGGAAACGGUACAACUAGAGGAUGCGAGGGGUCUGUGGAACUCAUAGUGUAGCGGUGAAAUGCGUUGAUAUUAUGGGGAACACCAAAAGCGCAGGCAGCAGACUGGAGCACUCCUGACACUGAAACAAGAAAGCGUGGGUCGCGAAUGGG
rnacentral:rRNA from 1 species